rnacentral:lncRNA from 1 species
CCUUAGUGUAGCAUGCCCGAAGUGGUCGGGAUGGCCUCCAAUGACUCUUCCUUCUUACGACUCUUACCUCGAUGUAAAAAUUGAACAAGGAGCCAUAUGAGAUAACCAGGGGACCCCAAGGUAUACAAUCUCUCUCUAUCUCUCUCAUGUGCUCCUUUCCAUCUAUUCUAGAUUUCUGACUUAAGCAUCAGAGGAUCUCCCGUCAAAACC